ACUGCUCAGUAACACGUGGACAACCUGCCCUGAGGACUGGAAUAAUCCCGGGAAACUGGGGGUAAUUCCAGAUAUGUCAGAACUCCUGGAAUGGGUUCUGGCAGAAAGGCUCCGGCGCCUCAGGAUGGGUCUGCGGCCUAUCAGGGUAGUAGUGGGUGUAACGUACCUACUAGCCUACGACGGGUACGGGUUGUGAGAGCAAGAGCCCGGAGAUGGAUUCUGAGACAUGAAUCCAGGCCCUACGGGGUGCAGCAGGCGCGAAAACUUUACAAUGCGGGCAACCGCGAUAAGGGGACCUCGAGUGCUGGGUUACAAACCUGGCUGUUGGGCUGCCUAAAAAGCAGUCUAUAGCAAGGGCCGGGCAAGACCGGUGCCAGCCGCCGCGGUAACACCGGCGGCUCGAGUGGUAACCGCUAUUAUUGGGUCUAAAGGGUCUGUAGCCGGCCGACUAAGUCUCUUGGGAAAUCUGGCAUCUCAAGCGUCAGGCUGCCAGGGGAUACCGGUCGGCUUGGGACCGGGAGAGGUGAGAGGUACCUCGGGGGUAGGGGUGAAAUCUUGUAAUCCUCGAGGGACCACCAGUGGCGAAGGCGUCUCACCAGAACGGAUCCGACGGCAAGGGACGAAAGCUAGGGGCACGAACCGGAUUAGAUACCCGGGUAGUCCUAGCCGUAAACGAUACUCGCUAGGUGUCGGCCACGGUGCGACCGUGGUCGGUGCCGUAGGGAAGCCGUGAAGCGAGCCACCUGGGAAGUACGGCCGCAAGGCUGAAACUUAAAGGAAUUGGCGGGGGAGCAC
rnacentral:rRNA from 1 species